rnacentral:rRNA from 1 species
CCCAACCCUUGCAAACCGUACCCCGUUCCGUUCUCGUUGCUUCUGGCGGGAGGCGGGAGGGGGGACGCGUCGCUCCUUCGGGGGCGCGCGCCCCGCCUCCCCCCCCUAGGUCCCCUCGGGGCGCCCGCCAGCGGCCAGCGAGCCGCCCGAACUUAUCAAUCAACAGCAACCGUUCCGUCUGAGCAACAAACAAAAAUUAGCAAAACUUUCAACAACGGAUCUCUUGGCUCUGGCAUCGAUGAAGAACGCAGCGAAAUGCGAUACGUAAUGCGAAUUGCAGAAUUCAGCGAGUCAUCGAAUCUUUGAACGCACAUUGCGCCCGCCAGCAUUCUGGCGGGCAUGCCUGUCCGAGCGUCAUUUCCCCCCUCAGCGCGCUCUCGCGCUGGCGUUGGGGCUCCUCCGCCCUCGGGCGGCAGGGCCCUCAAAACCAGUGGCGGGCCCAGCUGGUGGCUCCGAGCGCAGUACCGAACGCUUUGUUCUCCUCUCGCUCUGCAGCUCCGGCCGGCGCUCUGCCGUCAAGCCGCGCGGGUGGCCAGCGUCUUUUCGCUGCCGCCCCGCACUUUGUACCAAGGUUGACCUCGGAUCAGGUAGGACUACCCGCUGAACUU